UACGUAGGGUGCAAGCGUUGUCCGGAAUUAUUGGGCGUAAAGAGCUUGUAGGCGGUUUGUCGCGUCUGCUGUGAAAUUUCGGGGCUCAACCCCCGAACUUGCAGUGGGUACGGGCAGACUAGAGUGUGGUAGGGGAGACUGGAAUUCCUGGUGUAGCGGUGAAAUGCGCAGAUAUUAGGAGGAACACCGGUGGCGAAGGCGGUUCUCUGGGCGAUGUCCUGACGCUGAGGAGCGAAAGUGUGGGGAGGCGAACGGG
rnacentral:rRNA from 1 species